ACGGAAGGCAGCAGUGGGGAAUAUUGCACAAUGGGCGAAAGCCUGAUGCAGCGACGCCGCGUGAGUGAAGAAGUAUUUCGGUAUGUAAAGCUCUAUCAGCAGGGAAGAAAAUGACGGUACCUGACUAAGAAGCUCCGGCUAAAUACGUGCCAGCAGCCGCGGUAAUACGUAUGGAGCAAGCGUUAUCCGGAUUUACUGGGUGUAAAGGGAGCGUAGACGGUGUGGUAAGUCUGAAGUGAAAGCUCGAGGCUCAACUUCGGAAUUGCUUUGGAAACUAUCAUACUAGAGUGCAGGAGAGGCAAGUGGAAUUCCUAGUGUAGCGGUGAAAUGCGUAGAUAUUAGGAGGAACACCAGUGGCGAAGGCGGCUUACUGGACUGUAACUGACGUUGAGGCUCGAAAGCGUGGGGAGCAAACAGGAUUAGAUACCCUGGUA
rnacentral:rRNA from 1 species